GCUCGGAUGGUGAAAUGGGUAGACACGCCGGACUGUGGGUCCGGUUCUCUAACGAGAGUGCGGGUUCGAGUCCCGCUCCGAACA
rnacentral:tRNA from 1 species